GCAUAUCAAUAAGCGGAGGAAAAGAAACCAACAGGGAUUGCCUCAGUAACGGCGAGUGAAGCGGCAACAGCUCAAAUUUGAAAUCUGGCCCCUAGGGCCCGAGUUGUAAUUUGUAGAGGAUGCUUUUGGUGCGGUGCCGCCCGAGUUCCCUGGAACGGGACGCCAUAGAGGGUGAGAGCCCCGUCUGGCUGGCCACCAAGCCUCUGUAAAGCUCCUUCGACGAGUCGAGUAGUUUGGGAAUGCUGCUCAAAAUGGGAGGUAUAUGUCUUCUAAAGCUAAAUACCGGCCAGAGACCGAUAGCGCACAAGUAGAGUGAUCGAAAGAUGAAAAGCACUUUGAAAAGAGGGUUAAAAAGUACGUGAAAUUGUUGAAAGGGAAGCGCUCAUGACCAGACUUGGGCUUGGCGAAUCAUCCAGCGUUCUCGCUGGUGCACUUCGCCUCGUCCAGGCCAGCAUCAGUUCGCCGCGGGGGAUAAAAGUUUCGGGAACGUGGCUCCUCCGGGAGUGUUAUAGCCCGUUGCAUAAUACCCUGCGGUGGACUGAGGUUCGCGCUCCGGCAAGGAUGCUGGCGUAAUGGUCAUCAGCGACCCGUCUUGAAACACGGACCAAGGAGUCGUCUUCGUAUGCGAGUGUUCGGGUGUCAAACCCCUACGCGUAAUGAAAGUGAACGCAGGUGAGAGCUUCGGCGCAUCAUCGACCGAUCCUGAUGUUCUCGGAUGGAUUUGAGUAAGAGCAUACGGGGCCGGACCCGAAAGAAGGUGAACUAUGCCUGUAUAGGGUGAAGCCAGAGGAAACUCUGGUGGAGGCUCGCAGCGGUUCUGACGUGCAAAUCGAUCGUCAAAUAUGGGCAUGGGGGCGAAAGACUAAUCGAACCUUCUAGUAGCUGGUUUCCGCCGA
rnacentral:rRNA from 1 species